AUAAUACUCCCUCCGUCCGGAAAUACUCGUCGGAGGAAUGGAUAUAUCUAGAUGUAUUUUAGUUCUAGAUACAUCCAUUUUUAUGCAUUUCUUCGACAAGUAUUUUCGGACGGAGGAAGUACAUG
rnacentral:pre_miRNA from 1 species